AUUGAACGCUGGCGGCAGGCCUAACACAUGCAAGUCGAACGAGUGGCAGACGGGUGUGUUGUGUCUGGGACUGUGCCUGAUGGGGGGAUAUCUCUUCUGGAAACGGUAUCUAAUACCGUAUAACCCGAGAUGUCCCCAGAUGGGAUUAGCUAGUUGGUGGGGUAACGGCGCACCAAGGCGACGAUCCCUAGCUGGUCUGAGAGGAUGACCAGCCACACUGGAACUGAGACACGGUCCAGACGCCUACGGGAGGCAGCAGUGGGGAAUAUUGCACAAUGGGCGCAAGCCUGAUGCAGCCAUGCCGCGUGUAUGAAGAAGGCCUUCGGGUUGUAAAGUACUGUCAGCGGGGAGGCGUUACCCGCAGAAGAAGCACCGGCUAACUCCGUGCCAGCAGCCGCGGUAAUAC
rnacentral:rRNA from 1 species